rnacentral:rRNA from 1 species
AAUUUUAUAUAUUAAUUAAUAUAUAAAUAAAUUUUAUAUAUUCAUUAAAUAAAAUUAAUUAAUAAAUUUAAUUAAUAAAUUUAAUUAAUAAAAUAUUUUUUUAUAGCGUGCCAGCAAAAGCGGUUAUACGAUUAAUUUAAAUUAUUAAAAAUAUAAAUUUAAAAUAAAUUAAUUUAUAGAAUUAUAGUAAAGUAAAAUUUGAUAUUAUUAAAUAUUAAGUAUAAUUAAUAUAUAGAAUAUAAUAAUUAAAUGGAUUAGAUACCCAUGUAAAUAAAUUUUAAAGUAUUAAAUUUUUAAAAUUAAACUAAAAAAAUAUUUGGCGGUAAAAUAAUUAAUUAAAGGGGCUUGAUUAAUUAUAGAAAGUACUCAUUAAAAUAAAAUUUAUUUAUUAAUUUAUUUAUCUCCGUAUAAUAUAUAUAUAAAUUUAAUCUUUAUCAAUUUAAUAAUUUUAUACAGGUCAAAAUUUAAUUUAAAAUAAAUAUAAUUUAGCCACAAAAAAGAAAAUAAUAAUUUAAGAAUUUAAAAGUAAAUUUAUUUUUAAAAAAAAUUAUAUUGAAAAAAAAAUUUUAUGUACAUAUUGCCCAUCACUUUCAUUAAUUAAAUGAAAUAAGUUGAAACAUAGUAAAAGUAUAAGAAUAUGCUUUUAAAAU